UCAUCCCUGCGGCGUGUCCAGCCUCGUGGUAGAUUCCGGGGAAGCGAAUGCGCAGAUGUGGACCCCGCCUUUACGAAGCUCACAGGCUUGGCGGAGAGGCGAAAAUAAAUGCAUAAGGGAGAACUCUCAGCCAGGAUGUGGAACAAAGGGAAGGCUCAGAAAUCGCUGAUGGGGAUGAGACUGGUGCAACCACUAUGAAAAAUAGUUUGCUACGACCCAGUGAAUUAAAAAUGCCCCACCCUGUGCCAGGAAUUCGACUCCUAGGUAUAUACCUGCGGGAACGCUUGCACAGUCCCCGAGAGACGUGACUAUUCACGACAGUGGUACUUCUAUCAUCCCCGGACUGGAAACGAUGCCCAUCGCCCGCGGGACGGAUCGCUAAAUUGUUGGACUUCCAUGUGACGGGAUAUUGGGAGGCAACGGAGAUGCACCGUAUACGACUCCCCCGGCAACCGGGGCGCAUUUCAAAAAUACAACCUUGACCGAAGGAGGCAAGUCA